CCAGCCCUUUGGUCAAGCAGCUGCAGGACUACAAUCCCAGCAUGCAGCAGGCUCCAGGGCUUUGCGCAGCUCUGGAAAGAGGAGCAGAGUGGUUCGCAUCCCACCUAGUCAUAUGCUGGGAGCUCUAGUCCCUCAACUGCUCUCAGCCUGUUUGUCGGUAGGCUUUAGAACUAUAAUCCCAGCAUGUCCCGGGAUCUGGAGUGCAUAGCCCUGGAGGGAGGGGCAGACCGGUGUUGACUUCUUGGUGUACAAAGUACUGCUGGGCUCUGAAUCCAUGCCGACUCUUUGCCAAGGAUAGGUUCUUUCCAGAGCAUUGUGUCUUCUGCAGCCCAGGGCGCUGCUUCUUUCCUAAACUGUUGGGGAAACUGCCCUGAUAUCCGAGACACUCUCCAUUGUGCCACAACCCUCUUUUUUCUCUAGCCAGAGCGCGUGCUCAACUGCUUUUGAGAGAAAUCUUCCACCUGGCCUGAUUAUGAACAGCUUCAGAGCACUGUAGAGCAGUGACCAGGACUGUGACUUCCUGGAAAUGUCACUCUCAAUGGCGGUUUUUUCAUGAAUGUGAAAGUCGAUGCAUUAGGAAGGUUAAGUGUAGGGUUGCACGAAAUCUGCUAAAAGUAAAGGAGAAAACCCCAUUUCCGAGGCACGAGUCUUGUGAGGCAUUUUCAAUCAAGCCGUUAAAGUGGACAAGCUCCAAAAUGCAACCUGAAGCUGCUGACGAUUUAGGCAUUUUACAAUUGAAAUCAUCGGUCUCAUCUCAAGUCGGGCCUGACUUGCCAGUGUCUCGGAGACACAAAUGGGACCUGAUCCUUCAGGAACAGACAGUGUUCCAGCUUUGUGGGAGCGACUUUUAAGAUGUUGAGUACCUGGGGUCAUUUGGAACCUGUCUUCCGUAGGGACUUUUACUUCUAGAGAGCAUGUGCAUUUUGAUUUGACCUGUCCUCAAGCUGACGCUUUGCUCAUUUUAAUAAUAAAAACCACACUCUUGGGGGAAGAUUUAAGAUGCUAAUGAGAUAUGCAAUGUAUGCACACAUAUGUAGAGCUGCUGCACAUGUGCACCGAGAAGACCACGCAGAACAUGCUUAGUGUAAACACUUCUUUCCACCUUCUUAUGAAUAAUCAUGUAAAACUCCCCAUAAAGAGGGUUUCUCCACCAAUAAUUAAUGCUUUCUCACCCUUAUGAGCAGGCUGCUCUGGAAUUUCUUUAUCAGAGUGUACCAUCUAUUCUGCAUUUGAUUUUCAAAAUAGUCUUUUUUUUUCAAUAAAUUACUCUAUGUUGUACUUCUUU